AUCAUUAUCGAAUUAUAGGCAAAGGUUGUCGCUGGCCUCCUGGGGCAUGUGCACGCCUGAGCUCUUAAUCCAAAUUACACCUGUGAACUUAAUGUGGGAUGGUCUCCCUUCGGGGAAGCAAGUCUCAUGUCUUUCAUACACACACUUGUCUCAGAAUGUCUUACAUGUUGUUUGCUUUGAUGCAAUCAAAUAAAUAAAUACAACUUUCAACAACGGAUCUCUUGGCUCUCGCAUCGAUGAAGAACGCAGCGAAAUGCGAUAAGUAAUGUGAAUUGCAGAUUUUCAGUGAAUCAUCGAAUCUUUGAACGCACCUUGCGCUCCUUGGUAUUCCGAGGAGCAUGCCUGUUUGAGUGUCAUUAAAUUCUCAACUUUGCUUGUCUUUUCAAGCAAAGCUUGGAUUUUGGAGCGUGCUGGCGAAGGUCGGCUCCUCUUUAAAUACAUCAGCGGAAAGUCAUUUCAAAUGACUUUGACUUUUGCGGUGAAUCGGCGUGAUAAUAAAUGUUGUUGCGUCGUUGGCCCGAAGGUCUCUGUCCGCUUACAAUGGUCUUCGGACGACUUAUUAUGAAACUUGACCUCAAAUCAGGUAGGACUACCCGCUGAACUUAAGCAUAUCAAUAAGCGGAGGAAAAGAAACUAACAAGGAUUCCCCUAGUAACUGCGAGUGAAGCGGGAAAAGCUCAAAUUUAAAAUCUGGCGGCCUGUAU
rnacentral:rRNA from 1 species